rnacentral:rRNA from 1 species
UACGUAGGGUGCAAGCGUUGUCCGGAAUUAUUGGGCGUAAAGAGCUCGUAGGCGGCUCGGUAAGUCGGGUGUCAAAUCCUCAGGCUCAACCUGGGGCUCCACCCGAUACUGCUGUGGCUAGAGUCCGGUAGGGGAGCGUGGAAUUCCUGGUGUAGCGGUGAAAUGCGCAGAUAUCAGGAGGAACACCAGCGGCGAAGGCGGCGCUCUGGGCCGGAACUGACGCUGAGGAGCGAAAGCGUGGGUAGCAAACAGG